CUUCUCAUUAACUCUAUGAGGUAAGCAUUGUUAUUAUGUAACCUCUGCCCUCUCGCCCCUUUUUUUAACAUCCAGGAAGAAAAUGAGGUUAAGUAACUUGCCCAGGAUCAUAGAGCUGAUAAGGGAUGUAGUCAGGGCUCAAAUCUAGGCAGUCUGGCCCCAGAGUCCAUUUUCUUAAACCCUUUUCUAUGCUGACUCUGUUCUUUUUCUGUAUUAGCUGCACAGCCACAACCCAGGAAGUUACUUCUCUCAUUUGAAUCUGGUCCUUCCCCUUUUGGACCUCAGUAGUCCUGGGCUUCUAGUUAGGAUUUAAGAUUAGAGAGAAGUAUACACCUGAAGGCAUGUGUGGCUGAGUGUGUCUGCAAAGCUGAUGAAACAGCCAGUUUAUUGGUGUGUGCCCAUGUUUUUCCCCACCCACUCACGCAGUGGUAGUGCUUUGGGCAAUAGAAAACAUUACAGUCCUGGCCGCAAGGCUAAGUAGCAGCUAUUGAUUAAGCCAGCUUUGUACCAAAAAUUGUACAUUAUCUCAUUAAAAUGUGGUUAAUUUGCAUGUUUAUUAUGUGCCAAGCUUUGUGCAAAACCACUUUCUAUGCAUUAUCUCAUUUAAUACUCUCAAAAACUUUGCAAGGUAAUUGUUCUCAUUUCAUACAUGAGGAGACUGAGGCUCAGAAAAAUCAAUUAGGUAACUUGCCCAAGAUCACAUUUCCCACCCAGAUCUGCUUAUGUUCUCUGCUACCUUGUGCUACUUUCUACUUGUCUCAGAUAAAUGGCAAAAAUAUUGGCUCUGUCAUGUCUGUGUGUGUGUGUGUGUGUGUGUGUGUAUGUAUGUGUGUGUGAGAUUGCAGAUGCAUAGACAAUGUCUGAAAGGAUACAUUCCAAUCUUUGACAGUGUCUGUUUCUGAGGAGUGGAACUUGGUGAGGGAAUUCUAUAUUCUUCUGUACUUUUUGGAUUUUUUUUAAAAGGAGAGAAGUAACUGCAAGAUAGAGUGUGGCUGAGAGUAAAAGUUGGGGCUCAUGAUAUAAGAGCUGGAAGGAGGAAGAGGGUGGACUGGAGUGGAUGAGGAAGACUUCACAGGGGAGGUGAGAUGAGAAUCAAGCUACAGAGAUUGGGUAGGGUUUGAAUAAGUGCAGAAGGCAACCAAGGACAUGGAACAGGAAUGAGAAAAGCCUGAUUAAAAAGUAGUGAGAAGAAAAGCCUAAGUGGAUCUGGCAGUUUUUGCAUGUGAAAUAGAAGAAAGCAAGAGUGGGAUCAGACAAUGGAAGCUAGAGGUCUGAUUGGCUUGAGAGUUUGGGAAUUCAUCCAGUAAGUAGUGGGGAGCCAUAGAUGGUAACAGCAGGGGUGAGAGUCGGGGGAUGUAUUAUGAUAAAGGCACAUUUGCAUGGUGUGCUGCUUAGUCUUCACCUACAUGCAUAUCCUUGGUAAAGAGCAUCCUUCCAAGAGAAUGAUGGUAGAUUUAGGGGUGUUGAGCAUGCCAAUGCUCUAGGAGAAACCAGCUUUAAAAUGCAGAUGUAUUUCUUUAAGGUGAGAGAGAUUAUUAUGCUAAUUAUAUACCUGGCAUAUACAAUGGGGGAGAUUAAUAACUAUGCUUGUGACCAGGAGAGCAGGAUUAUAAAAAACUUGGGAGCCCUUUUAGAGACACUGGGUUCAAAGAAGAACUAAGUUGUGCUGGUGUGAAGACCUGGGUAUUCAGGCCACCAGAUAAAAGCAAAAUCAAGAGAGGGAAAGCAAAAGGGAACCUAGGAUAUAUGGAGAAUAGAGGGGAAUUGAUGUCAGUGAAACUGGGUAAAGAUCUGAAAUACCACAUACCAGAAAUGAUUUUCUGUGGGCAGAACUCAAAGCUUCAGCUGCUGUGUCUGUGAAUAGAAAAACUUUGACUUGAAACCAAGGUGGGAGGGCAUCAAAUAGGAAAAAGACAUUUUUCAGGGGCCUAGAAGGUUAAGAAAACAAGAGGGCGUGAGUGGUUGUUUAAUCCUUUGAACCCAUGCUAGGUUAACUGAGUAACGUGAGAGCACAUAUUCUUAAUUUACCUUUUUGAUAUCUGUACCCCAAAACUUUCUCACGGUAGAAUGAACUCAGCAGACCGUAGUUCAAGCCACCAUCAUUUCUCCCCUAGAUUGCCACAGCUUCCCUGCCUGCUUCUACUUUUCCCCAUGAUCUAUUGUCACAGCAGCCAGUUAUGAUUUUAUAUUAAAUGUGAGUAAAAUUUUGUUACCCCCUGCUAAAAACCUCUGAUGGCUUCCCACAUCUCUUGAGUACAAGGCAGAGCCCUUACGAUGGCUUUUCAUAAUCUCUUCCCACCCUGACUUCAUCUCCUGUUACCGUCCCUUUUGCUUUCUCUGUUCCAGCCAUGUUGUUCAACUAGCUGUUCUUGAAGGAUCCAGGCAUGCUCCUGCCUCCAGGCACUCAAUGUUCCCUUUGCAUGGAAUAGUCUUUCUCCAGAUAGUCAUGUGACUUGCUCCUCAAUUCCUUCAUGUCUCUGCUCAAAUAUCACCUUAUCAACAAGGCCUUCCCUGACUACCCCACAUAAAAUAGAAACCUCUCUUCCCCCUUACUCCCUAUCUCCUGUACCUUUAUUUUUCUCUAUAGCACUUAUCACCAUUUGACAUAUAUUUACUGUCUGUCCCUUAUGGCCCCCUUUCUUUAUCUUGUCCCCUUCUUCCCCCCACAUAGAGGAGAGAUAGUGGUAUAGUGGUUGAGACUAUGAAUUCUUUUUUUUUUUUUUUUUUGGUGAGGAAGAUCAGCUUUGAGCUAACAUCUAUGCCAAUCCUCCUCUUUUUCCUGAGGAAGACUAGCCCUGAGCUAACAUCUGUGUCCAUCUUCCUCUGCUUUAUACGGGACGCCGCCACAGCAUGGCCUGACAGGCAGUGCCUCGGUGCACGCCCGGGAUCUGAACCCAGGCCGCCAGCAGCGGAGCGCGAGCACUUAACCGCUACGCCACAGGGCCAGCCCGAGACUAUAAAUUCUGAAGUUAGAUUUCCUGGGUUUGAAUUGCAGCUUCACCACUUGCUACCUAUGAAACCCUGGGCAAAUGACUUAAACUCUUUGUAUCUCAGUUUUCUCAUCUGUAAUAUGGGGGUAAUAAUAGUACCUUACUCAUAGUUGUUUUGAAGAUUAAAUGAAUUAAUGUAUGUAAAGCAUCUAGAACAGUGUCUGGUAUAUUAAAAGCACUUUAAAUGUCAGUUAUUAUUAAUAUUGUUAUUAGAAUGUAAAUUCCAUCAGACUAGGGACUUUCUUUCGUUUGUAGCUUGUCCUCAGUGCCUAGAACAGUACCCGGAAUAUAGUAGGCUCUGAAUAAAUAUUUGCUGAAUGAGUGAGUGGUGUAUGAAAAGUUUUGACAGAAAAAGAUAAUGUGGUGGUCACAGUGGUGGUGAGUCAGCACCAAGAAAACUUGGGGGAAAAACACGAACUCAGGGAUCCUGUCUUUUGAGUAAAAACUCUCUCCACUCUUGCUGGGGUGGUCUAUAGAAGUCAACUAAGCCCAAGACGUUAGAAAUUUGUUAAGAGGAUUAUGUUUGCAGGUUAUCCAGAAGGAUGCUAUCCCACACCAGUGGUUUUUUUCUCUUUGAUAACUAUAACCAAUAAUGGCAAUAUGAGUUUAAUAACUUUUCUUUUAGUUGUAGUGUGAUCAGUGUCCACUUGUAAUGUAAAUACCUUAUCCUUAGUUUUUUAAAUUUUGCAAUGCAUGCCAAUACCUAAAAACAGUGUAGAGUUAUUUUUACAGUGAAUUAACAAUAAUUUUACUUAAAAUCAAAACAAAAACAUUUUUAAACUAUAGGUCAUGACCCAUAUAUGGGUCAUGAAAUCUAUGUAAUGGGCAGUGACCAGGGUUUGUUUGUUUUUUUAUGAAAUAGGAUUUAAAAAAUAAUAACAUAGGGGCCGGCCCCGUGGCAUAGCCGUUAAGUGCUCGCGCUCCACUGCUAGCGGCCCCGGUUUGGAUCCCAAGUGUGCACUGAUGCACCGCUUGUCAGGCCAUGCUGUGGCGGUGUCCCAUAUAAAGUGGAGGAAAAUGGGCAUGGAUGUUAGCCCAGGGCCAGUCUUCCUCAGCAAAAAAAGAGGAGGAUUGGCAUGGAUGUUAGCUCAGGGCUGAUCUUCCUCACAAAAAAAUAAAAAAUAAAAAUAAUAACAUACGGGCCGGCCCGGUGGCAUAGUGGUUAAGUUCGCACACUCGGCUUCAGUGGCCUGGGGUUCACAGGCCCGGAUCCUGGGCACAGACCUAUGCACCGCUUAUCAAGCCACGCUGUGGCAGCAUCCCAUAUAAAGUAGAGAAAGAUGGGCACAGAUGUUAGCCCAGGGCCAAUCUUCCUCAAAAGAAAAUAUAUGUAUAUCUCAUAAGGUAAGGAUACAUAGUAUUUUGUAAAAUUAUUCAGUUAUUUGUGUGUGAGUGGGUGUGUAUCUCACACAUGCACAAACAUUCAUAUGCACAUGUAUGUGUGUUCUGGGUCACAAUAUAAAAAAUUUCUUACUGAGAGUCCUGGUCAAAAAAGUUUGAAAGCCUCUGCCCAGAAAUGGUGUUUGGAAAUCACUAGGUCACAUAAUUAUUUUUCUUUCAGAAAAUUGCCCUCAUUAAUUACUAUCCUGGUUAAGAUUGUUCAUAAGCUUUAAGUGGUCAUAAACAUUUGUCUCUUUAUUAGCACUCAUUUUACAUACAGUUGCCCACUCUUUAUCCUCAAGGAGCUUCAAAGAGAAACACUUUCCAAGAAAUUAAAGGGCAAAAAAGAGCUCAAACUGUACCCCUGUUUUAAAAUAUUAGAACUAAUAUUUCCUUCAUUUUAAUAUCUCUGAGCCAAGACCACUCCAGGUGACUACUUUCUGGUUUUGUUUGCCGCAGUGUUUAGAUCACUAGGAUAUUCAUUUAAUCUUUCAAUAAAAUUUAUAAGAAAAAUAACAAUGGUGGUAAUUUAUAAUACUUUAGAGUUUACCAAGCUGCCACCUUCUUUGUGCUCUUUAUCCAUGGUCUUAUUUUAUCUCUAUAUCAACCUAGAAAGAUAGGCAAGGUUGGUUUUAGGAUUCCUAUUUUACAGAUUGAGUAAACUAAGGCUCAAAAUGUGAAGCCCAAGACUACGCAGGGAGUACCUGGAGGAUCAGUCGUAAGACCAGAUCUUCUCCACUCCAAACAUGGAUCUCUUUCCUCCACACUUCACCUGACUGGAGGGACUCUGCCUCUCCUCCAAGUACAUUUCUUUUGCUCCUCAUUCUGUCUUUUUAUCUUCUUUACUUUCCCUCCCUCCUCUAUUUUCUUUCCCUUUUCUCCUUGACUCUUAGUGUCAUCUGUGACCACUUGGGCCCAAAGUGCUUGUUUACCUCCAUUCAACUAAAAACUUACUCUGAGUCCAGUAUCUUGCCAUUCAGUUGGAAACCCAGUAUAUUCAAGCUGAUUUAUUUGAGUGGAUUCAUUCGGGAUGAUCAAAUGGUCCCUUCCUUCAAUAAAACUUUCAGGGGGUGGGUGGGUUUGUUUUGUUUUUGUUUUCAUUCCUAUAUUAUCUGCAUAAGUAUUUGCGUGGUCCUUAUCAUUAAUCAUGCAUUCAUGUUUCUCAUUAGACAAAGUGAUUGAUUUUGAUAUAAAUACUCCCAGUGCCUGCCAACAGAAAAUAUUUUCUCAUUUUAAUAUUUUUUUCUCUGCAAAUUAUUUUUUAGGUUUUGGGAUUUCCAGAAGAACAGAUCAAGGGGGAAUUAUCAAGAAUAGAUUCUUUUUCUGAAUAGUUAAGCCUUAAAUGGCCACAGCCUUGACCCUUCAAACUCCAGAGAUGCAAGAGGUACUUAUGGCAGUAAAAGUAAAAAACGAAGAGAGGGACUAUGCUUGUGGGCAAGAGUCUGGCCUAUCAAGAGAUAACAACCCUCAUACCAGAGAGAUCUUUCGUAGACGCUUCAGGCAGUUCUGCUAUCAGGAGACACCUGGGCCCCGAGAGGCUCUUCGAAGACUCCAGGAGCUCUGCCAUCAGUGGCUGAGACCAGAGGUGCACACCAAAGAGCAGAUCCUGGAGCUGCUGGUGCUGGAGCAGUUCCUGACCAUCCUGCCCGAGGAGCUCCAGGCCUGGGUGAGAGAGCACCGCCCAGUGAGUGGAGAGGAGGUGGUAACUGUGCUGGAGAAUUUGGAGAGAGAGCUGGAUGAACCAGGAGAGCAGGUCCCAGCCCAUGAUUAUGAACAGGAAGAGCUUGUGAAGGAGAAAGCAACUCCAGGAGCAGCCCAGGAGUCAUCAAGUGGCCAGCUCCAAACCUCAGAAGAACAGCAUCAGUGUACCUUCCAAGACGUGUGCCCGGUUCAGGAGAUUGAUAAUAAGGCUGGGACUUGGAAUGUGGAGUUAGCCUCAAAGAGGGAGCUUUCUGAAAAAAUUAAAUCUCUUGUGGAAGUACCUGGAAAACUGAAUGGUGACAUUAUUCAGAUGCCUGAAUGUGACCAUGAGGGCAGAUUGGAAAGGCAACGGGUAAGCUCUUCGGUGGAGAGACCCUAUAUCUGUGGUGAAUGUGGAAAAAGCUUCACCCAGAAUUCCAUCCUUAUCGAGCACCAGAGAACGCACACAGGCGAGAAGCCCUAUGAGUGUGAGGAGUGUGGGCGGGCCUUCAGCCAGCGGUCAGGCCUGUUCCAGCACCAGAGACUCCACACUGGGGAGAAGCGCUACCAGUGCGGCGUUUGUGGUAAAGCCUUCAGCCAGAAUGCCGGGCUGUUCCAUCACCUCAGGAUCCACACUGGGGAAAAACCUUACCAGUGCAAUCAGUGCAGUAAGAGCUUUAGUCGACGUUCUGUCCUCAUUAAGCAUCAGAGAAUUCACACUGGAGAAAGACCUUAUGAAUGUGAAGAAUGUGGCAAGAACUUCAUUUACCAUUGCAACCUCAUCCAGCAUCGGAAAGUCCACGCUGUGGCUGAAUCCAGCUAGCUCCUUGGAACAGGCCUGCCUCGGAUUUCUUUCUCUUACAUAGAUCCCUCAGGAUCCGAUUCCCUUUUCCGUGUCGGCGCUUCCGGACGUUUUGGAGAUGCAGGGAACUGGACACAAGUGUUAUACAGAGCUGGGUCUGUGCGGACCAUUCGCUUCUCAGAUGGGGACACAGAUUUACCGGGGUCCGUCGGCGGACGGAUCCUUAAGGCUAAAAGAGUUUCUUUACUUUCAGAUCAUUGCCUUGAUCACAGCCAUUCGCUCUGAGUAAAUGUGUUCUUAGUUUGGAGUUGAUCUCUGUGAACAACAAUGGGUUAUGCCUCAGCACCAGCAUGAAGCGUUCCUACUGCUGCGGUGAGCCAAUUUUCUGAGCUGUUUCACACAGGAAUGGAUUCACCCCAGUGCUUUUGCGCUGCAGAAGAACAGAAGGAAUGUCAAAUAGUUAAAGAAUUUAGCCUGCAUAGAACUGGGUCUUCUGGCCAGGAGUUCUUCAGACAAAGCUAGGAGGAUUCUUUUGGGCCUCAAGAGUCCAGCUCCAGUCUCUUUGCCAUCAGUGGCUGAGAUCAGAGAUAGACAGCAAGGAACACGUCUUGGAUCUGCUGGUAUUGGAGCAGUUCCUGACCAUCCUGCCCAGAGCUCCAGGCUUGAGUGCAGGAGCAGCCCAGAGUAUAGGAGGGAAGCUGUUACUGUACUGGAGGCCCUUGGAGAGGAAGCUGGAGAAUCCAAGAGGAAAGAAGAUUUGAUCAAAAUGGGAACGAGAAGGUGCUUCCAAAGUAGAAGAAAGCUGAAGAAAUAGCAGGGAAACACUGUCAGAUUUGAUGGCAGUAUUUCUUAGAACUUUGAUUAUGGAGAAGUCCAGAAAUACCAGAGAAGACUAGAAAGCUAUCCAGAAAUUACCAAAAGGAGAGAUAGUAUAAGUGUGAUGAAUGUGGAAUGAAUUUCAUUCAGAACUCUGUCCUUAUUCAUCAUCAGAUAUCCACACUGGUGAGAAACCCUAUGAAUAUGAUAACUGUGGAAAAGCUUUUACAUGAUUAUUAUAUGUGGAACACAUGCCCAGUGUUGCCACGUCUUCCAAACCUUAUUCUUAUAUGAACUCUCCCUACUUUUAGUCUUUUGCCCCCCCCCUUUUUUUUUUAAAAAACUUUAGGACAACUUGACUUGCCCAUGGGCUAUCAGUUUAUCAACUCUACUUUUAAAAAUGCAUAUUUUAUCCAAAAGACUGUUGUAAUUAUUAACAAUGAUUUUGGGAGUAUAAAGAUGAGUGCCAUGAUACUUUUGUAUGCUCAUGGGCUCUUAGUGCCUUUGGGCCUAGAGAUUACCAACUGCUGAUACAGACUGCUCAACAGAGUUGUUAAAAUGACUUGCUUACCAGCUUAUCUCUGCCUCAGUGCCUCCUCCCAGCAGAGAUCUGCCUGCUUUUAGGUAGCCACUUUCCCUCACUGCAAGAAUGAAGGAGUUAGCUUCCCUGGUGUAAGGACCACUUGAAGGAAGCACUAAGCUUCUCAUGCUCUGUCUUUUAUGUCCCAUAAGCAUAUAAGCCUGGGGCUAUAAUGGGAAAAAAAUAUUUUCCUUUUCGCUAAGUUCAACUCAGGCCAGUGAGGUAUUUGAAAUACCAGCCAGGACAUGAUAAAGGGUAACAAGACUUAUCAUUGAUCUGCACUACUGAGUGCUUUAUAUGUAUUUCACUUAAUCUUUACAGUGAAUCUAUGAGGUAGAUCCAGUCAUUCCCAUUUUAUAGAUGAGAAAACGAGAGGUUAAAUGACCUGCAUAGCAAGUGAUGAAUUGCAAUUCAAACCAAAACAGUGUGACUCUGAAGCCUGCACUCUUGUUUCUAGUUCUGUAGCCUAGGUUCAGGAGGAGGCAAGUAAGUUGUUUAAUGAUAACUGCGAGAAUUCAUUGUGUGGCCAAUUUUUUUAAAUUUAUUUUUUAACUAAACAAUGUUAUGGUUAACAAAGUUAUAUUUAAUUUUGUCAGGAAAAGCAUUUGUUCAGCACCUAUUUUAUGCUAGGUACUUUUAAAAUGGUACUUCCUAUAAGGAGUUCAUAAUCCAAUAAUUAUUUAUCCAUGCAUACAUAUGUAUGUGAAAAGUCAAUUUUGGAGUGAUUUUUUUCUGUUUUCCUUGCUGCUAGCCACAUAAAGCUCUAAAGAGCAACUUUUAAUGAUGACAAUUGCCAAUUUCUUGGAUUUUUGAGAGCAUAAAAGCCUGAUUGAAAGCACUAUUUUCAGUUUCUAUCCUAAACUUGGAAAUCUGAAUAAUUCAUUUUGGUAGGCAGAAUAAUGGUCCCCAAAGAUAUCCUCAUCUUAAUCCCCAGAACCUGUGAAUAUGUUACCUUCUAUGGUAAAACGGACUUGGCGGAAGUGAUUAAAUUAAGGAUCUUGAGGUGGGAAGAUUAUUCUGGAUUAUCCAGGUGGGUUCACUGUAAUCACAAGGUCCCUAUAGGAGGCAGGCAGGAGGGCCAGUCUGAAGAUGUGACAACGGAAGAAGAGGUCAGAGAGAUGUCAUUCCUGGAAGGGGGUCAUGAGCCAAGGAAUGCAGGAAGCCUCUAGAAGCUGGGAAAGGCAAGAAAGCAUUCUCUCUUAUAGCCUCCAGAAAGGACCACAGCCCUGAGCCAGCUCUGAUGGCCUAGUGGUUCAAGUUUGGCAUUCUCACCACUUCGGUGGCCCAGGUUCAUUUCCCAGACAUGGAACCAUACCACCAGCCUGUCAGUUGCCAUGCUGUGGUGGCGGCUCACAUAGAAGAACCAGAAGGACUUACAACUUGGAUGUACAACCAUGCACUGGGGCCUUGGGGAGGGAAAAAAAGAAGAUUGGCAACAGAUGGUAGCUCAGGGCAAAUCCUGCCCUACCAAAAAAAAAAAAAAAAGGACAACAGCCCUGAUGCCCUGAGGACAUCUUGAUUUUAGCCCUGUAAGACCUAUUUUUGGACUUCUGACUCCAGAACUGUAAGGUAAUAAAUUUGUGUUGCUUUAAGCUACUGUGUUUGUAGUAAUUUAUUUCAGCAA